rnacentral:lncRNA from 1 species
AAUUACUCUUCUAUUUACAAGUGUGGAGUGCCAGUGUGUGCAAGCAUGCUCUUUUAUUGAGACAAGACAAAAACUACUAACUUCCACAGAAUCCCCAUCAAGAAUCGUAAAAGUUUAAACUAACACCCCGUCACUCAAGUCCCACUAAAAGCCAAGGUCCCAAAGAAUGUCCAUACCCUUCUAUUUUAUUCACUAUUUUUUUUUUUUUUUUUU